rnacentral:lncRNA from 1 species
GAGUAACCCUCCAGGGAUUAAAAACGUCAAAAUCCAAAUACCUAUGCGGUCGCAUAGGUUAUGCCUAUGCGAUCGCAUAGGUAUAAUCUGUGCCUGAUUUUUGCAGUUUCCUUAUAUGAUUGCAACUCCUUUGGUAACCUAAUUUCGACGGGUUUAAAUAGCAAAAAACGUCUAGAAGCCGGAAGGAACGAAUUGGGAGGCAAAAACAUUCAUUUUGGAGAGGAUUUGAAGGCAAGAACAAGGAUUGACGCGAAGAUUUACAAGAUUUCUUCAAGUUUUGAUAACCCAGUGAUGUAUUUUAUUCAAAACUUGAUAGAUUUCGUUAUUUUUGUCAUGAUAGGCU